rnacentral:tRNA from 8 species
AUAGUAAGAGGAAAAUCCGUCGACUUUAAAAAUCGUGAGGGUUCAAGU